rnacentral:rRNA from 1 species
UACGUAGGGUGCGAGCGUUAAUCGGAAUUACUGGGCGUAAAGCGUGCGCAGGCGGUUUUGUAAGCCAGAUGUGAAAUCCCUGGGCUUAACCUGGGAAUGGCAUUUGGGACUGCAAGGCUUGAGUGUGGCAGAGGAGACUGGAAUUCCUGGUGUAGCAGUGAAAUGCGUAGAUAUCAGGAGGAACACCGAUGGCGAAGGCAGGUCUCUGGGCUAACACUGACGCUCAUGCACGAAAGCGUGGGGAGCAAACAGG